CUGCAUGCCUUAGCGUGUGUGUGUGUUUUUGUGUGUGUCUCAGACCUGGGAUUAUAAUCCUCCCUCCACACGCUGUGGCCUAAUCCUAGUCUCAGCAGGCCUGGCUGGCUGCUCAUUGGUGGAGAGGCAUGGAGGGACAACACUGAUUGGUCCAGAAAAGGUGAAUUCAACGCUGUGACUGGCCAAAGAUUCCAAAAGAGGCGGGAUGUCACAGUGCUACGGCAGAGAAUAGGAGUCUAGGUCAGGUUUAUCGUUUGUGUGUUUCAAUGCCUGCCUCGCUGUCUUUGUGGUUGAUAGGUAGAAUCUCAAGGUGGGCCCUACUUGUAGGAUUAGCAACAGUAAACAUUAGCUAAACAAAAAGAAGUUUGCUAUAUCCUUAUGAAUGUGUCCCUCUGUGAGGUGAAUUGCUUCAGCUCUGUUGCUUUGGGGUAUGUCAUCAAAAUGCAUGUUAUGAGUAACAGCAUGAUUUUUUCUUUUCUUUGUUAAGCCCAAACUGGUGUUGUUGAACUCUAUAGGUGAAUAAUACUUCUACUCAUUUCUGAAAUUUCAGAUUAAAGUUCAGUCAACUUUAAAUUCCACACACACACACACACACACACACACACACACGGCCUUUGGGUGUAUUUUCCUUUUAGUAUUGAAGUGUGACAUAGUGUUGGUGUGGUCUGCUGUCCAAUCAAUUAAUCUCAUUUCUCCCUUCAGUGUUACUGACGGUUAACGUUAGCAUGCCUCGGCCAUUCAAACCCUCUCAUACCACUAGACUAGAGGGACAGGAACGCAGAAACGUUCCAGCUGACCAUUGCUGGUUGAUUUGAUUAUGUGGAGUCCAAUGAUGCCUAGGUCGAUGUUGCACGCGACUGUAAGGACCAAUAGUCAAAGAGCUGUAAGAUGUCUUGGGGUCACGAGGCAUUUAGAGUAUGUCAAAAUUAGCAGUGGACAUUUAAAAAAAUUCAGUAGUCACACUUGAAGAGAUUUGUUUUUCUGAUGAUUGGUGAUAGAUAUUUACCAGUGCCUUUGGGAAUUUUUUACCUUGUGUGUAUACUUAGGCUGCAUGUCCAGUCCUAAGGUGGACCAUCCACUAGUCACUGGAUGACUGUUUAGGUGGUUGGAUGUUGCGGUUAGACCCUGCUGUCGUUCUUUCAGUUGGGUUUAUCAUGGCAAGUGGUAUUGGCAUGAAUGUAGUGGUCUGUAUAGGCUACAGUGUUGUGUUUCUCUGUCUCUCGCUCACAUACACACAAACACGAACACGCAAAAGUUAGAUCAGUGAGUGAUGGAACGCUUUAUUGUGUCCAACGAUUUCUCUGUGAAUGAACUGUUUUACCUCUUUUCAUUCAUUAAGUUAGUUCUCCGCCUUAGUUCUUUGCUGAGAGAUUUAAUUGUUGACAUAACUAGUAUCAGUGAACCAAAUUACUGUAUGUUCUGUAAAAUGACCUGCAGGUAAAUUUUUGUUACAGGAGUCAAAGUGAACAUUUUCACAUCUUCCUCAUCCGCAACUAACUUUUUAUGGAAAUCAUAGCUUGCUUGCAGUGUCAUCGAUUACACUAAAUAUGGGUAGAAUCAUCAGCUGAGUAAUCAGAGAACUCAAACUCGUUAGCUCAAUGGACUUACACCCAUUAAUGCUUUCUGGAACGACACGAUAUCUGCACCUGCACCGAUCACUCCCAAUUCAUUUGUCGCUACUAGCAUGCUUUCUUAGAGGACAUAACGUAGCCUCUUCAGUUCGCUCUGCAAAUUAUUGAUUUGAUCGGUUAGUAAUUCUGUCACUUUUUAAAUACUAACAUUAGCAAACUCGUCAAAAUGUCUUUAAAUCAGCACGGCACAGAUACAUAUGUUUUCUGAAGGAGUCUGUGUUAACCACUCCUGUGUUAAACACGAUGCAGUGCUGGCUAUGAAGUCUCGGUUACCACUUUUCUAAAUUAAUCACUUCAAAUAUGUCAGACACCUCUCUUGCCUAUUGCCAAUUGCUGUGAUUCAGGGUUCAUGUACCUAAAUCUAAUCACUCAACUGAAAAGGUUUUCUCUGAUCUACACUCCUGAGUAUCACUACUUGCGACAUGAUGAUAAGACAUAGAUAACUUUAUAGAUAAUAUCUCAGCCCUGUUUGAUUUAGCAAGCAACCUUACAGUGGUAGCUUUAGCUGCCAGCUGCUGGAAAGGCGGCCGGUACUUUAUCUUGGUACCAUCUUAUGUCCAUUCUGAGUACUACUGAUACCCUGUGUGUGUGUGUGUGUGUGUGUGUGUGUGUGUGUGUGUGUGUGUGUGUGUGUGUGUGUGUGUGUGUGUGUGUGUGUGUGUGUGUGUGUGUGUGUGUGUGUGUGUGUGUGUGUGUGUGUGUGUGUGUGUGUGUGUGUUAUUACAAACCAAAACGGACGGACAAAUGAGAUUUUUUCCACUGACUUGUGCUGUAAAUAUGAUCAACUUGCUAACUUAGUUUUAGAAGUUACGGUGGUAGCUUGUCAAUGUUACCAAUUGUGACGUUCUGUGUAGGCGCACUAGCACUAGCGCACAAGCACACCACAAAGCAUUAGCAGCACGGAUCUCUUAGCGCUACAGUGGCAUCGAUAUCGUGAAAACCGCGGGAGCUGAAACAGCUCUUAAAACCCCCAUAAUAAUAAUAACAAUAAUAAUGUUGAAAGGUCAGCAGUUCAUCUGAGGCAAACAGCAACACUCUCUCCACACACUCACACCACAAAACACACUCCACUCCAAACACUCCAGACCAACAGCACUCAGCUUUGGUAACACAUGACACCCUGUCCUCUGCCUCAGAACAUUCACAGACUAAUGCUUAAUUUAUGCUUCUCCGAGCAAACCUCGUACGAGAAUCUCGUACAGGAAGUUAGAAAAAUGAGUAGGUGCACGACAGCCUCUCCGAGGUGCUCGGAGAGGGUUCGGAGAGAGUGGUUAAAGUCGGAGAGGCGUUCCCUGUGUUCGGAGGGGCGUUCCCUAUGUCCGACUCCGUGAAAUCGGAGUAGCAUAAAUUUAGCUUAACACUGUGUUCCUGUGGUGCCAACAUGCUGAGGUUACUUGUUGCGGGAAAGGAUGCUCUUGUCCACCUUAGCUGGCCAAUUGCAUUAUGUCUACUGUAACUGUAUGAGUGGCAACCUCCCUAAACAUGCUGUCAAUCAAUCUACAAAUCAACCAAUCAAAUAAAGGAACCAAUGAUUAAUGGGCCUUGCUGUCCAAAAAAAGGAAGCCUGCUUGGUUUGGGUUGCUAUAGGUCUUGUCAUUUCUUCGUAACGUUUGGUAAGUCUUAGAAAUGGCAAUCAGAAGAAGUGGUGAGAUCAUUCUUGCUGAAACUGAGGUUUUCCUGUACUGUCCCCCUCUUUGACCGCUGAGGGUGUGUUUUUGUGUGUGUUAGGGGCCGACCAAUAUGAUAUUUUCAGGGCAGAUACAAUAAUGACCAUCUGUCACAAAUAUUUGAAUGCGUUGAACAUGUGUGCAAGGAUUGUGAUAAAGUUCAUGAAAAUACUGUAAAGUGCAAACUGUGUGCUGCAAAUUUGUGUGAGUGUGUCCAUGUGAAUGUGUGUGUGUUUGUGCGUGCGUGCGUGCGUGCGUGCGUGUGUGUGU
ensembl:lncRNA